rnacentral:rRNA from 1 species
GACGCUUAGAGUGGUGAAAUUUCGAACGCAUAGCACCGACUGGGUCUCCAGUCGGUACGUCUGGUUCAGGGUUGUU